AUGGAGGCGUGUAUUAGCAAGGUGGAAUAUGAAUCCAGGAUUGGGAAGGCUUGGGCAAAAUGGUUUCACGCUAAUGACAUCCCUGGGCACAAAGCCAAUUGUCCGUACUUCGUAGGAGCAAUAAAAUUGACUCAAGACCUUGGCAAAGGGGUGCCUGCCCCUAAAGGGAUAGAUAUUGAUGGAGUUUAUUUAAAUAGCAAUUAUGAAGAGUUGCAGCAGUAUGUGGCCAAGUUCAAAGAUGAUUGGCCCACAUAUGGUGUUACUAUCAUGUCAGAUUCGUGGACUGGCCCUUCACGGAUGAGCAUCAUAAACUUUAUGGUGUUCUCCAAUGGGCGUAUGUAUUUCCACAAAUCUGUUAAUGCCACCGGACACAUGCAAAAUUCACAGUUUGUGUUUGAGCACAUCAAAGAAGUGAUCGAAGAGAUAGGGCAGCAACAUGUUGUCCAACUUGUGACCGACAAUGGCUCUAACUUCAAGAAAGCAUGUCUUGACCUUGUUGCAGAUUUCCCACACAUCACAUGGCAGCCAUGUGCGGAUCACACCAUUAACCUCAUGUUGAAGGAGAUGGGAUGCUUUUCUGAGAUUAAUGAAGUGGUUAGUAGUUGUAAGAGAAUUUGCAGAUUCAUGUACAAUCAUUCAACUUUGCAUGCUGAAAUGCAGAAGCACAUAGGUGGAGAGUUGGUGCGCCCGAAUGCCACAAGGUUUGGAACUAACUUUAUGUUCCUAGAAAGCUUUUGGGAUAAGCAAGAGAAAUUCCAAGUGUGGAUGACAUCUCCAGAGUGGAAAAAUAGCUCAUGGAGUUCCGAGGUUGAUUAUGACUACACAUAUGAUUGUUUGAUAAGUAGGACCUGGUUGAAUAGCGUGAAGUGGGUGCUAGAUUUAAUUGGCCCAAUAUAUAGCAUACUUAGAUAUGCUGAUUCACAGAAGCUUGGGUCACUUUCUGGCUUUAUGACAAGGAUGAUGCAUUCUAGGCAUCAAUUGAGUUCUUUGUUUUGUCAUGAUUCUCUAGACCAAAACAAGUACCUAAAGGUGGUCGACAAAAGGGUUGACCAUUUAUACAAAAACACAUUGAUGGUUGCAGCCGGUGUUCUGGACCCGGCAAGUCACUACAAGUAUAACUUUGGAAAAAGUCUAUCACACGUGAAUGCACUCAAUGCAGCACUUAAGAAGUUGGCUAGUCCUUCAGAGUUCAUUGCUAUGAUUCCUGAAGUUCACUCUUAUGUCAAUACAAGAGGGGCUUUCGAAGGCAUGUACCCUCGUAAUGCAGCUGAAAAGGUGUCCCCAACUGAGUGGUGGAUAACAUUUGGAGGAACUACACCGGUGCUUCAAAAGUAUGCUAUUCGUAUUGUCUCUCAAUGCACCUCUUCAAGUGACUGUGAGCGGAAUUGGAGCACAUACGCUUUAGUGCAUACACUAGUGAGGAACCGUCUUGGUUUUGAAAAGUUGCACAAGAUGGUUUUUUGCCACUACAACCUUGGGCUGCGAAUCCGACUAAUUCUUGGUGAGCCAAAAGAGAAAGAGGUUGAUACUUGUGCGUUGUUGAUGAAUACCACUCUCUAUGAUUGUAAUAACGAAAUCAUGGAUUGGUUGGGCAACUCAACAAGCGAUUCCAUUCAAGAUGAGGAUGAAUAUGAUGGUGAUAGUGAUGGUGAUGGUGAUUGUCCGGUUGUCUUAGAGGUGGUGGGACAAAAGAGAUCUAGAGGAAGUGGGAUGCCUCCAAGUGAGGAGGAAGAGGAUGUAGAUGAUGGGGAGGAUGAUGAAGGUAACAAUGACGUGCUGCCUCGUGAAAGCAAUGAACCUUUGCGGAAGUCUACAAGGAAAAGGAGGAAGAGGAAGCUUGAUUCGUUUUGA
rnacentral:rRNA from 1 species